UACGUAGGGUGCAAGCGUUAAUCGGAAUUACUGGGCGUAAAGCGUGCGCAGGCGGUUUUGUAAGUCAGAUGUGAAAUCCCCGGGCUUAACCUGGGAACUGCGUUUGAAACUACAAGGCUAGAGUGUGGCAGAGGGGGGUGGAAUUCCACGUGUAGCAGUGAAAUGCGUAGAGAUGUGGAGGAACACCGAUGGCGAAGGCAGCCCCCUGGGACGUCACUGACGCUCAUGCACGAAAGCGUGGGGAGCAAACAGG
rnacentral:rRNA from 1 species